rnacentral:misc_RNA from 1 species
GGCAUCAUUGAAAUUUUUCACUAUAGCUGAUAUAAUUGAUGCUGUCUUUGUUUUACUUGGAGUGUCAAAAGAAAAAUGAUGAAAAUAACCAAAACCCAUUGGGACAAUUAGGACAUCAAAUGCAGUAUUUAGUUCCUGUAUUUCCUGCAUUUUUAGGUUAAACAAAGAGACACAAAGUGAAAACGAAAAACUUAUAGUUAGCUGAAGUUUCUAGUGUCUUUCAACUAACAAAAGUUUAAGGUAGGGCCACACAAUACUCCCUUUGUCCCAAAAAGGUUGACACCUUCAUUUUCUCACUUGGUUAAAGAAAACAUUAUUAAUAUUAUGCUAACUCACAUUUUCCAUUUCAUUUUUCCUUUCAUACCCCUCAUUAUUUCCUAGAAAAGUUGUCGUCUUUCUCUUUCCUUUAAGUUAUUUUCCUUGAAAAAU